CCUCCUAGUUUAAAUACAUCCUAGCAAAACCUCUGAACUGCUCACUGAGAACAUUUGUUCCCUUUUGAGAAAGAUGCAAACCAUCUUUUUUGUACAGCUUAUCUCCAUUCCAAACAGAGCUACCAUGAGAAAUAAAGCCAAAUCCUUGCUCCCGACACCAUUCACCAAGCCACAAAUUAAAGUCCCUAAUACGCAUCCGCCUGUCGUUCUGAGUGUUA